AUGGCUCCCAAUAGGGCCCCCGGGCCUGAUAACAUUCCUCCUGAGUUUUAUCAGGUAUGCUGGGACAUAGUUAAAGAUGAUAUUAUGGCCCUGUUUAGAGCUUUCCACCAAGGAACGUUGGAUGUUCAAAGGUUGAACUAUGGGGUGAUCACUCUUCUCCCCAAAAUUUCUGGGGCUGAGAAGAUUCAGCAAUAUAGGCCUAUAUGCUUAUUGAGAUGCCCAUACAAGUUAAUCACGAAAGUCCUUGAUCGUAGAGUUGAUGUAUAUGCAAAUAAACUCAUUAGUCCUACUCAAAACGCCUUCAUUAAAGGGAGAAAUAUCAUGGACGGAGUCCUGUCCUUACAUGAGCUUCUUAACUACACAUAUGUUAAGAAGAGAGUAGGAAUUGUACUUAAACUGGACUUUGAGAAAGCAUAUGACAAGGUAAACUGGGACUUUCUUUUGGAGUGCCACAAGAUGCGAGGUUUUGAUGAUACGUGGUGCAGAUGGAUUGAACAAAUCUUGCGUAAUGGGACAGUCAGCAUUAAACUAAAUGGUAGUGUUGGGCCAUACUUUCAAAGCAAAAAAGGGGUGAGGCAGGGUGACCCGCACUCUCCCUUUCUGUUCAAUUUAGCUGUUGAAUGUCUCGCUAAAAUGAUUAAAAAUGCCCAGAAAAGCAAACUGAUUGUU
rnacentral:rRNA from 1 species